GGUCAGACUUCACAGAUAGGAACAGAUCAAUCAGGAAGUAUUACAACCGUGGACAUUGCAGAUGGAAAUGGAUAUUAUUAUAUCCUCGAUACAACAACAUCACAAAUUGAUAAAUAUGAUAAAUCGACAGAUACAGUGGCUACUACGAUUUCACUUUCAACUGAAGCAACACGAAUAAUUGUUGUGUUUGAUAAGGACCACUGUUCUUUGAAUAACACCUGUCCUGCGAACUCAACAUGUACGAACUCUCCUGGCACCAUUGUAUGCUCAUGUGACACUGGAUUCACUGGAAAUCAAACAUAUUGCCAAGACGUUGAUGAAUGCAAAACAACCUCCCCAUGUCAUUCCAAUGCUACAUGCAAUAACACAGAUGGAUCUUAUAUCUGCACGUGUCAUUUUGGAUAUAAUGGAUUUAACUGCACAGAUGUCGACGAAUGCUUAACAUCUUCCCCAUGUCAUUCCAAUGCUACGUGCAAUAACACAAAUGCAUCUUAUUUUUGCACAUGUGAUUCUGGAUAUAGUGGAGAUGGAUAUAAUUGCACAGAUGUUGACGAAUGCGUAAUAUUUCCCCCAUG